UACGUAGGGUGCGAGCGUUAAUCGGAAUUACUGGGCGUAAAGCGUGCGCAGGCGGUGAUGUAAGACAGAUGUGAAAUCCCCGGGCUCAACCUGGGAACUGCAUUUGUGACUGCACCGCUGGAGUGCGGCAGAGGGGGAUGGAAUUCCGCGUGUAGCAGUGAAAUGCGUAGAUAUGCGGAGGAACACCGAUGGCGAAGGCAAUCCCCUGGGCCUGCACUGACGCUCAGGCACGAAAGCGUGGGGAGCAAACAGG
rnacentral:rRNA from 1 species